rnacentral:lncRNA from 1 species
GAACAACAUCAUAAAUUAUGGAUCCCUCGAGCCGCCUCCGGCCUGUGGCGGCGCGAUCUGUCUCCGCGGACUUGCCCCGCGCGCGACGGUGCGGUCCGCGAGCGCGGGGCCUGGGGCGCCCCCUCCCCGUCACCCCGGGGGCGGCGCGAUCGGGCCCCGGGACAGCUCGGGGCUCGGCGCUGCGGGACGCGCCUGCUGCGGGGCCGGGCGGGCGGCCAGCACCGGCUCGCCAUUGUCCCCGGCCCCGGCGGGAGCGCCCAGCGCGGGGGCCGCGCUCCGAGCCGGGCCCCGGGGACACCAGGGGCGCGCGUGGGCCCCCGAGCAGCCGGCGACAUCUGCGCGAGCGCGCGGGGCCAGGAGGCUAGUCGACACCCCCGGACGCCCAUCUGGACCGGCUUUUCCUCCGGGGCCGGAGGCGGAGGGAGAGGUCAAGGUGACCUGCGGCGGCGGCGGGGGCGCGCGCGCCCGGCUCGGCCCCCAGCUCCGCCCCCAGCCCCGCCCCUAGCCGGGCCCGAAGCUCUGCCCCCAGCCCCGCCCCAGCCCGGCCCCCAGCUCCGCCCCCAGCUCGGCCCGAAGCUCCGCCCCCACCUUGGCCCGCAGCUCCGCCCCCAGCACGGCCCGCAGCUCCGCCCCCAGCUCUGCCCCCAGCCCCGCCCCAGCCCGGCCCCCAGCCCGGCCCCCAGCACGGCCCGCAGCUCCGCCCCCAGCACGGCCCGCAGCUCCGCCCCCACCUUGGCCCGAAGCUCCGCCCCCAGCACGGCCCACAGCUCCGUCCCCAGCACGGGCCCGCGGCUCGGCCCUUGCUUGCCUCCCCCCCCACCCCCCCACCCCCUGGCGCCUUGCCCUUUGUCCUUCCUCCUCUGGAGCCCAAGUGCUGUGACACCCCCCCCCUCCGUAUUACUCAGGCUGUUGAGAUUAAAGGAGCCUCCGCCCAGUUUGGAAAGUGCAGCUCUCAUCCCUCUCCCCACCCUCAACGACCCCACCUAUUGUCUUGUUUUUGUGUUGUUUUUUUGGCUGCAAGUCAACCGCUCAUCAUAA